rnacentral:rRNA from 1 species
AGACUCUGAUCCAGCCAUGCCGCGUGCAGGAAGAAUGCCCUAUGGGUAGUAAACUGCUUUUAUACGGGAAGAAAAAGGGGCACGUGUGCCCUGUUGACGGUACCGUAAGAAUAAGGACCGGCUAACUCCGUGCCAGCAGCCGCGGUAAUACGGAGGGUCCGAGCGUUAUCCGGAAUUAUUGGGUUUAAAGGGUCCGUAGGCGGGCCGGUAAGUCAGGGGUGAAAGUCUGUAGCUCAACUAUAGAACUGCCUUUGAUACUGCCGGUCUUGAGUCAUGGUGAAGUUGGCGGAAUAUGUGGUGUAGCGGUGAAAUGCAUAGAUAUCACAUAGAACACCGAUUGCGAAGGCAGCUGACUAACCAUGAACUGACGCUGAUGGACGAAAGCGUGGGGAGCGAACAGGAUUAGAUACCCUGGUAGUCCACGCCGUAAACGAUGGAUACUAGCUGUCCGGGUCCUUGAGACCUGGGCGGCCAAGCGAAAGUGAUAAGUAUCCCACCUGGGGAGUACGUUCGCAAGAAUGAAACUCAAAGGAAUUGACGGGGGCCCGCACAAGCGGUGGAGCAUGUGGUUUAAUUCGAUGAUACGCGAGGAACCUUACCAGGGCUUAAAUGCAUUUUGACAGGGCCAGAGAUGGCCUUUCCUUCGGGCAAUUUGCAAGGUGCUGCAUGGUUGUCGUCAGCUCGUGCCGUGAGGUGUCAGGUUAAGUCCUAUAACGAGCGCAACCCCUACCGUUAGUUGCCAGCGAGUCAUGUCGGGGACUCUAACGGGACUGCCGGUGCAAACCGCGAGGAAGGUGGGGAUGACGUCAAAUCAUCACGGCCCUUACGUCCUGGGCCACACACGUGCUACAAUGGCAGGUACAGAGAGCAGCCACGUCGCAAGGCGGAGCGAAUCUAUAAAACCUGUCACAGUUCGGAUCGGGGUCUGCAACUCGACCCCGUGAAGCUGGAAUCGCUAGUAAUCGGAUAUCAGCCAUGAUCCGGUGAAUACGUUCCCGGGCCUUGUACACACCGCCCGUCAAGCCAUGGAAGCCGGGAGUGCCUGAAGUCCGUCACCGCAAGGAGCGGCCUAGGGCAAGAUCGGUAACUAGGGCUAAGUCGUAACAAGGUAGCCGUACCGGAAGGUGCGGCUGGAACACCUCCUUUCUAGA